GUGAGUCAUCGAAUCUUUGAACGCACAUUGCGCCCCCUGGCAUUCCGGGGGGCACACCUGUCCGAGCGCCGUUUGUAAGCUGAGGCAUUGCCUUGCGAUGGCCUCCUCCGUGCGGGGAGGGGCCGAAACGGAUGGGCGCCGGGACGCGGCGAGCAGCGUGACACGAGAGCGCGGCGGACCGCGGGCCGGGCAGCCUGAGGAAAAAGACUACUUGGCCUCGGAUCAGGUGGGGAUACCCGCUGAACUUAAGCAUAUCAAUAAGCGGAGGA
rnacentral:misc_RNA from 1 species